AUCGGGGCGGUUGGGAGCGCUAGCUGCCACCUACAGCCUCGCGGGCAGCCGAGAGGUACCUUUUUCCCUCCUUGGCCUCAUGAGGUGGUAGAAAUUAGGUGGCCUCGGACCCUAAUGAAGUGACAUUUGCUGCAGAGCAACUUCAGGGGAAGCUCAUUUGGCGGCCAAACUUGGUCAAAGGGACAUGAGGCUAUUUAUCCACUGCGUAGUCCGUUCAUCGGGUUUGCUGCUGGGGCAUUAGGUAACGUGCGGUGUCUGUACCAUAAACACUUCCUAAAAUACAGAAAGCGGUGAGCGCUGAGACAUGUCGGCCCAACUGUGUCGGGAGGUGAAACUCGCUUGGCAGGGAGCAAUAGUGCCUGCCACAGGAGGCCUGGACGGAGGGCCCUCCCCGCCUGCAGAUUGCUGCCUUUGGCAGGAAGUAGGGGAGGUGUGGGGUCUGGAUGAGGAGGUUUUGUACGGGAUCAUGUGCAUCACCAAGAGGCAGCUCUCCUGGCCUGCUCCCCAGACGCCACUGUGGUCAUUCCUGUGCCUUCCGAGAAGGCCUCGCAGUUUCUGGGCGAGAUGCCAUGGAGCUGGAAGCUGUGUCCUUGUCUCCAUCCGUCCAGCCUGAGAUGCUGGCAACAGUACAGAACAGGCCAGUCUCAUGGCCCCUUACUCUUUGUACCCUAGCUUGUUUCCUUACUAACGCUGCGUCUUCAUCCUUUGCUUUUUUUUUAAUACCUUUAUUGAGACAUCAUUUACUUGCCAGAAAAUUCACCCUUUAAAAUGUACAGUUCAGGAGUCCCUGAGUGGCUCAGUUGGUUAAGCAUCCAGCUCUUGAUUUCUUUUCAGAUCAUGAUCUCAGGGUUGAUAGACUGAGCCCCACAUCAGGCUCCGUGCUGGGCGUGGAGCCUGCUUAAGAUUCUGUCUCUCCUUCUCCACCCCCCCAAAUACAAUAAAAUGUACAAUUCAGCGUUUUCAGUAUAUUCACAGAGUUGUGCAGUUGACACCACCCCAGGGGCGCCUGGCUGUCUCAGUCAGUAGAGCGUGUGACUCUUGAGCUCAGGGUCAGGAGUUCAAGCCCCACAUUGGGCGUGGAGCUUAUUUAAGAAAAAAAAAUUAAAACAUUUCAUCACCCCAAAAAGAAGCCUCAUACCCAUUACCUGUACUCCCUAUUCUUCUCUGCCCCCUGACAUUGGAAACCACGAAUCUCUCGGUCUCGUGAAUGUGCUUAUUCUUCAUUAUGAUACAAAAGGAAUUCUACAAUAGGUGCUCUUUUUUUUGUUGUUUUUAAAGAUUUUAUUUAUUUGAGAGAGAGAAUGAGAUAGAGAGCAUGAGAGGGGGAGGGUCAGAGGGGGAGAGGCAGACUCCCUGCUGAGCAGGGAUCCCGAUGCGGGACUUAAUCCCAGGACCGUGGGAUCAUGACCUGAGCCGAAGGUAGUCGCUUAACCAACUGAGCCACCCAGGCGCCCAAUAGGUGCUCUUUUGUGGCUCACUUUCACUUAGCAUAACGUUUUCCUGGUUUACCCAUUUUAUAGCAUGUAUCAGUAGUCUGUUCCUUUUUAUUGCUUAAUAAUAUCCCCUUGUGUGACUAUACCACGUUUAAUUUAUCUGUUUGUCUGUUGAUGGGCUUUUGGAUUAUUUAUACUUUUUGACUUAUGACCAGUGCUAAUGACCGUGAACAUUCGUGUGUAUGUUUUUGUGUAGACGUAUGUUUUCGUUUCUCUUGGACAUAUACCUAGGAGUAGAAUUGAUGGGUCACAUGGUAAGUUUUAUGUUUAACAUUAUAUCAACUGCCAAACUGUUUUCCCAGGUGAUUGCAGUGUAUGAGGGUUCUCUUUUCUCUGCGUUCUUGCCAGCAGUUAUUAUUCUUCUCGGUUAUAGUCAUUCUCAUUCAUUUUGGUUGAUAACAAGUGAUACUGAGCAGCUUUUCAUGUGCUAAUUGGCUAUUUGCAUAUUUUCUUUGGAGAAUGUCUAUUCAAGUCCUUUGCUCAUUUUUAAAUUACAUGAUUUGUCUUUCUAUUAUUGAUUCUAAGAAUUCGUUGUAUGUUCUGGAUGUAAGUGAUUUCACUUUAUUUACUGUGUAUUGGCUAUGUUUUUCUGUUACUUCGCUUUUCUCAUGAUUUUUUGUUGAGAAAUUGAUAUUUUUAAUAAUAGGUGACAACUCUAGAAAUGAGAUAAUUUUCCCCAAGGCUUGUUGUUGUUGCUGUUUGUUUAUAGUGACUUUCCUGGACUAAUUUGUAAAGUCUGUUUUUGUCAUGUGCAGCCAUUGAAAUCUCUGCUCAGCUAGCUAAUGAUUUGACAGAGAUUUUCUUAAAUUCCUUGAAGCAGUACGUUUUCCCCCUUUUUGAGGGCCUCUUUGUGUGGUGAGGGGGUGCCUUCAACAUGUCCAAGUAAUUUACAUCUCUGCCUUAGCUUUCACUUCCUGUUUAUGUAGUCUCACGGUCAACCACAUGUGAGAGCAUAGGGCUUUCUGAGGUUUCUCAUGAGCAUACAAGUGAUCUUCUAGAUUCUUAGGAAUAUGUUGAAGCUCUUCAAAGCCUCUUGUGGUCGUCUCAUUCCCUAGCUCUUCCUCUUGUUUGCCCUCAUCUUUUGUGCUCCAGCUGGUAUCACUGCCUUGGGCAUCUGCAGCAUUAAAUGGUUGUCACUGAUUGUUUUCAGCAAAUGCUCUUCAGUUGAAAUAGGAUGCUCCUCACUGACUGAACUCUGAGUUCAGUCCAACAGACAAGCCCAAUGAAUGGGGCUUUUUUUAGGAAGCGACCAGUUAAAUAGUGAUAAUUCUCUGGAGAUGAGGUUUUGGGGGGCUCACUAAACACAUUUGCCCAUGCCAGUGGCUGUUAGGCUGCCGGUUUCUACAGCUGCCAUGGUUGCAAAGUUGUUGGUUUUCAAGGCCAGUGUGGAGGUGGGUAAAAGGGGAGGGGAAUAGUGUAAUUAAACUGCUGCAAAGCUCACUGUCACUAAGAUUCAGCCUUUCUUUCUUGACUAAAAGCUACUCAGAUUGUUGUAAGCCUUUAAUUUCCAGAAUUUAAAAAAUUUUCCAAAGUUUAUAUGAAAAUGUUUUGUUUGGUUUUUUUUUUAAGUUUAUUUUUAUGAUUUGUGCUAGUGUUCUUGAUGGUCUGCGUGGUUCUUGGUUGCUUAGGGCCUGCAUUCUAGUGGCUUCUCUAUGGGUAGAACUUAGCCCAGAAUAGACCUGUGCCUUUACCAUUUGGUCUAACAAGAACGAAAUUAACUCUAGUUAAAGUUUUUACUGAGACUGUCUCUGAAUUUGUGGUGUUUGAAACACUGAAAUUCAGUGUGAAGUGUUGUGUAACAUCUGCUCUGCUUUAAGAAACUAGCUCCUUCAGUUUAUAAGACUUUUGUUUUUAGUAGUCUUAGGUGUGAAGUGUUGGUAUCCAACUAUUCGUUUGUUCUUUUUGUAAAGUGGUCUAGUAUAUCCUGUAGUUAACAAGUUACAGUGUUCGGAUUUUAUCUAAA